CCGAAAACCCAAGGUUUCCUCCGCAAGGUUCGUCCACGGAGGGUGAGUCAGGGCCUAAGAUCAGGCCGAAAGGCGUAGUCGAUGGACAACAGGUCAAUAUUCCUGUACUACCCCUUGUUGGUACGGAGGGACGGAGGAGGCUAGGUUAGCCGAAAGAUGGUUAUAGGUUUAAGGACACAAGGUGACCCUGCUUUUUCAGGGUAAGAAGGGGUAGAGAAAAUGCCUCGAGCCGAGGU
rnacentral:ncRNA from 1 species